rnacentral:rRNA from 1 species
GAUUUCUGGUUGGGCGCAUUUGGCCCGCUUCGGUUACGAGGUUGAGUGCCGUUUUGCGCCCGCCAUCCUUCUAGAGUACGACUCUCCCUUUACUGGGUUGGGCCGGAAUCUAGAUCAUUUACUUUGAAAAAAUUAGAGUGUUUAAAGCAGGCUUUUGCUAUGAAUACAUUAGCAUGGAAUAAUAAUCUAGGACUUCGGUUCUAUUUUGUUGGUUUCUAUAACUGAAGUAAUGAUUGAUAGGGAUAGUUGGGGGUGCUAGUAUUGGCCGGCCAGAGGUGAAAUUCUUGGAUUCGGUCAAGACUAACUUAUGCGAAAGCAUU